rfam:Oryza sativa (indica cultivar-group) chromosome 11, whole genome shotgun sequence.
AAUGUAUGAUACUGUUGACUUUUUAUCCAACGUUUGACCAUUUGUUGUAUUUAAAAAAUUUAUGUAAUUAUCAUUUAUUUUAUUGUGACUUGAUUCAUCAUCAUAUGUUCUUUAAGCAUGACAUAAAUGUUUUCAUAUUUGCAUAAAAUUUUUGAAUAAAACGAAUGGUCAAACGUUGGCCAAAAAGUCAACGGCGUCAUACAUU